ensembl:lncRNA
GAGAGAGAGAGAGAGAGAGAGAGAGAGAGAGAGGGGGGGGGUGAGGUAGAGAGAGGUAGAGAGAUAGAAGCAAAGAGGAGAAAGCAGGACAGUACAGUCUAUUGAGCUGGUCUGGAUGCUCCUGUGCUUCUCAUCUGUUCUGUCAACGGCCUCGCAGGGAAACCCACAGCGCGUGAUGCAAGCCAGAGAGGGAAGGAGUCAGGAAGACCGCUUGUCCGCCGCUGUUUGCCGAUUGUGAUUCGCGACCGGCACAAUGGCAUCUGAGGCACACGGCGGCAACGGCACUUUAACUUCCACACAAGGGGCGGCGGAGCUGCUGACCUAACAGCGUCCAGAGGCCAGAGUACAGGACCACCAGGGGGGCGGGGGCGAACCACACACAGUCAUGGAGCCGGACGGGACGCCGGCCCGCCCAAGAAGAGCGAGUGUGACGCGGGGACGUUCAAGGUACCCUACCCUUACAAGAACCCCGGCAACAAGCUCCCUCUGCAGCCCACCGCGCGGCGGGCCGCCACGCUGUACCAACCCUGGACCCAGAGCCACACGUCCACCGGCCGGACCAAGGCCCAGAGCCUUCCCCAGCACUCCUGGGCGGGCUGGGCCGAGUUCCACCACCACCUCCACACCGGCGGGUCGUCGGACCUUCCCCACCGACACGGGCCCUCCGUGGGCCACAUCAGGGACUACUGCCCCGCCUUCGUCCAGCCGGGAGGCCUCCUACGCUACCCGCUGAAGCUGGUUCCCGUCACUGUUCCGGAGGACGGCGAGAGGCCCGUGAUGGGCUACAGGAGGGAGGCCCCUAAGUUAAGGGAACGGUUCAGCUUAGAGACCUUCUCUGGGCGGACGACCCCCAGGGGAGACAGGGGCCCGUGGGGGAGGAGGAGAGAGCCGCCGGCGGGGCCUCCUCACAGCGGCGUCGGCCCGACCACCCUGACCCCUUCCUUCCUCACCCCGUCUCUCCCGCCUGUGGAGGACGUGAAACCCCACGAGGAGCUGUUGUACGAGCACCUGGUCGCAAGCGGUGUCAAUCACCCACGUGCCAUUCCGAGUCUUGUUUCUUCUUCAUCACCCUCAUCAGCGUCGUCCCCAUGCUCAUCCUCUGGUUACAGCUCACAACACAAGUUCCCCUCUUUCCAAGCAGAGCGUAAACCGAUCUUUGAGUCUUCCUCCGCCCCUGCCUCCUCCCUCCUCCUCGCCACCGCCCUCCCCUGAACCCUUCCCCUGGCUGCUCCCCCACUUCGCCGCCGGCUCGCUGAUCGAGCUCCGGGACGGCCGGCUCAAGCGGGUGGAGGACCUCCAGACGGAGGACUUCCUGCUGGGAUCCCUGGCCAGACGGGGUCUGCAGCUCAGCUGCUGCACAGUGCAGAGCAUCACCUCCUCCUCCUCUUCCUCCUCCUCCUCCAGCCCUCCUGCCCUCUCGCGCCUCCUCAUCCUGCUCCACGACCAGAACUCCCAGGAGUUGGUGGACGUGUACAUGGAGUACCCGUUCUUUGUGCGCGGACGAGGUUGGUCGUCCUGCUGCCCAGAACGAACGGCCCGUCUCUGUGGCCUGAGCUGCGGCCAGCUGAGCGUGGGAGACGUCUGCCUGGCUCUCACCCCUGCGUCUCCCAGCGGUCCUCCAGACCCGGGGGAGGUCGCCGCUAGACGGUGUAUGCCAAAGGAGCAGACCCGUUCCGAGGCUUGCCCUCCAGCCCACGGCCCGGACCCUGAGGAGGGGGCAGUGGAGGGUGAGUGAGGGGCCAGGGUCACACGACACAACUAGAUUGACUGGAAGAUCAUCGAUCAUCAUCUCCUGAGAUUAACUUGACACUGACUCUCUCUCUCUUAAUUUAACACUCACCUUUAGGGUGCGGUUUAGUUUAGUCCUGUGGAAUCUGCACCUUUUUUCUACCUCAAAGCAAACAAUUAAAUUGUGCUUGAUUGUCUUUCUUUAGUGUAUUCGAUAAUAACCUCUAACUGAAUGGGUGGUAGUUGUUUACACAAGGGACGCAAGGGAUGAAAUGGCUUCCUCCGGUCUGGCGCUGGGGAAUCCAUUUAUAGGGAUUCACAGCAAACUUGCACAAAAUGUCUGAAUAUGUCUAUUGGUUUUGCUUUAAUGUGUGCAUGCGUGGAUACUGUUGCAAGAAGACUCCCCUAAUGCAGCCCUUCUCAGGUAGUGGAUUCAUCUUGGUAAGACUGAGAUGUUUUAAUGAAUGACAUGCUUGUCGUGUGGGAUAAGGAGUCAUUUUUGUGCUUAAGCUUUUGUCUUUUGCCAAAAAAGCCAACUGGGUUUUAUAUGUGUCGAAAACAAUAUACUUCAAUAGCAAUGAUUAAUUAAUUGAUUUAAUAUUCUGCUAUUACAAUAGUUGUGAGUCAGAUAGAUUGUGCUUUGUCAAUCCAACUUAAACAAAAUCUUAAAUCUAGGUUUUUUUUAUGCUUCAUUUUCAUGUUAACAUUUGAAAAAAUAUCCUUGCCUAAGAUAAUAACAUAAUCAGUUGGUAGUGAAGUACCGUACAACUUCUGCUUGGUUGGAUUAUGUGCAUUUAUUGAUUGUUCCCUGAGAAAUGUAAAAACAUAAAUCACUUAAUAUGGCAUGAUGCUAUUGUAUUUAUUUACCUAUUCCUGUUAUUUGUUAAACACCAUUUAGUCUUCCCAUUUAUUUUAUCCAAUUUUUACCAACUGUUAGAUGGACCAACAGAAGUCCAUCGUAAACAACAGGAGUGAAACAUUAAACACGUCUGAAGUGAAACAAUAUUUGUAUCUGGAUUCAGCCCUUCAAGCAAUAUUUUACAACCGUUCCAAAAUGUCAGGAUUACAAGCCUUAGGCGUCCUCAUUCUCCUCAUCCAGCUUUAUUUGACAGAAGGUUUCCUGUGUCUAGAUCAGUGUGGGUUCAGUGGAAUUCCUUCAUUCACGUGGCCAAUAAAUGUCAGUCUGAAUUACUUAUCCACCGGUUCACAGCUCAACGACUGAACUGACUUCUCCGUCUAUCAUCCCCAUAAAAUCCCCGGCAAAUGUAUUCCCC